rnacentral:rRNA from 1 species
GACGUAGGGCGCGAGCGUUGUCCGGAUUUAUUGGGCGUAAAGAGCUCGUAGGCGGCUUGUCGCGUCGACCGUGAAAACUUGGGGCUCAACCCCAAGCCUGCGGUCGAUACGGGCAGGCUCGAGUUCGGUAGGGGAGACUGGAAUUCCUGGUGUAGCGGUGAAAUGCGCAGAUAUCAGGAGGAACACCCGUGGCUAAGGCGGCUCUCUAGUACGGUACUGACGCUGAGACGCGAAAGCGUGGGGAGCGAACAGG